UGCUAACAGUGUGGUGGUGGUAUAUGCUAACAGUGUGAUGGUGGUAUAUGCUAACAGUGUGGUGGUGGUGGUAUAUGCUAACAGUGUGAUGGUGGUAUAUGCUAACAGUGUGAUGGUGGUAUAUGCUAACAGUGUGGUGGUGUAGUGUUUCAGUGUUUUACAGUCCAUAUAGGACACAGUGGAGGGAGUGUCUGUCUUAGUACAGGGAAGAUAUAAGAGACACUCUGCGGCUGUCAGCUUGUGGAUUGCAGAUUUGCACGCUGUCUGUUUAAAGUAUUUGUACACUUUCUGUCUCUAUCUGUCUGUCUUCACUCCGUGCUAACUGUCUGGCAGUAUUUCUCCAUCUGUAGACAGACAUCUUUAAUCAGUUUGCCUCUCAGCCGAACUCUAUGUGCUGCUAAUCCCCUUUAACGGCCAGCCUGGAUUCCAUCUUUUCAACAUAAUAUCUCUGUUCUUUUAACAUUUUUGUGAGUAUAAUGUUUACUGUUCAUUUAUGCUUUUUUAUUUCACAAUUUAUUGUUUAUUUCACUUGUGAUGUCUGGUGUGAACUGCUCUCUCGAGGUCAUGCCACAGCAUCUCAAUCGGGUUGAGAGGGAGCGGGUGACAGAGAGAGUGGAGGAGAUAGUGACAGAGAGAAGAUAGGAGAGAGUGGAGGAGAUAGUGACAGAGUGGGUGGAGGAGAUAGUGACAGAGUGGGUGGAGGAGAUAGUGACAGAGUGGGUGGAGGAGAUAGCGACAGAGAGAGUGGAGGAGAUAGUGACAGAGAGAGUGGAGGAGAUAGUGACAGAGAGAGUGGAGGAGAUAGUGACAGAGAGAGUGGAGGAGAUAGUGACAGAGAGAGUGGAGGAGAUAGUGACAGAGAGAGUGACAGAGAGAGUGGAGGAGAUAGUGACAGAAAGGGUGACAGAGAGAGUGGAGGAGAUAGUGACAGAGAGAGUGACAGAGAGGGUGACAGAGAGAGUGGAGGAGAUAGUGACAGAGAGAGUGACAGAGAGAGUUAAGGAGAUAGUGACAGAGAGGGUGACAGAGAGUGACAGAGAGAGUGAAGGAGAUAGUGAAAGAGAGUGACAAAGCGAGUUACAG
ensembl:lncRNA